UUGUGAAGAUGUCCCGGCGUGUUUGCCCAGUGAAAGCUCUUUACAGAGGCACCUGGGGCAUCAGAAGACAACUGUGAGUCACUGUCAUCAAGCCAGUAGAUAUGUUUAAAUGAAAGUCACUGUUAAUGCUUAAAUGCAAGGAAGACAUGGCAUACUGGGCCCCUGUUAAACGAAAGAAGCUUUAAAAGAAGGGGGUGAGAAAAGGCCUAAAUCAGUACAAGAGCUUAAGGAGAGACAGUUUCUGAAACAAUGUUUCAUGUUAGCUGAACAUUGCUGGAAAAGCAGUGUGAGAUAUAUACAAGCUAAUUCAGAAAGAGAAGGCUGACAAGAAUCUGGACCUGUUUGAAUCAAUGCUGAAGCUAUUAACAGGGUUUACAUGAUUGUAAGGAUCAACACUUGAUCAACUCUGAUAGUUGAUCAACCCAAUAAUUUAUGUUUUCAUCCAUUGUAAUUCUAACUAUAAUUCACUUCUCUGAAAAGAAAAUUCAACACAAAAGAUAGAUUAUGUAGUAUCAUAACUACAUUCAUCUUUAAAACAUACACCAACUUGAAAUACAUUUUAUAAUGGCAUGGAUGACAAACCACUGAGGUCUUUAAAAGUUCUCCUUUAGUCAUGCAGUGCCUGAUUCCAGGUUCUACUGAUAAGUCAAGGAAUGUUGUGAAGAUGAGCUCAUUGAUUUUCACAAAGACUUCAGAUACUAUGGGGGAGCACCACCAUUACCAAGAAAAUUAUGCUUUAUCAUUGAAUCCUUUCAAGACAAACAUCUUCAUGCAACUUUAUGCAUGACAUUGCGACUUCAGUCAGCAAAAGAACCAACAUGAUACCACAAUCUGCUGUUCUUUCAAGAUGUGGAACAAUGUCCAAUACAAAAGUGCCUCAG